rnacentral:rRNA from 2 species
AGCCAAGCCGGGAAGGGAUAAACGCUGAAGGCAUCUAAGCGUGAAGCCCCCCUCAAGAUGAGAUAUCCCAUAACGUCAAGUUAGUAAGACCCCUUGAAGACGACGAGGUAGAUAGGGCAGAGGUGGAAGUGCAGUAAUGCAUGGAGCUGACUGUUACUAAUAGGUCGAGGGCAUAACCAA